UAAAGAUUUUAAGGGCGUACGGUGGAUGCCUUGGCGAUAUCAGCCGAAGAAGGACGCGGUAAGCUGCGAUAAGCUACGGAGAGAUGCAAGCAAUCUUUGACCCGUAGAUUUCCGAAUGGGGGAACCCGGCAGUGGUUAUGCACUGUCACCCAUACCUUUGAGUAUGAGGAGGGCACCUGGGGAACUGAAACAUCUAAUUACCCAGAGGAAGAGUAAUCAAACGAGAUUUUCUUAGUAGCGGCGAGCGAACGGGAAAGAGGCCAAACCGGAGCGGGCAACCGCACCGGGGUUGAGGACAGUCAUCAAGUGUAAAUGAGGUAGAAGAAUCAUGCUGGAAAGCAUAGCCGCAGAAGGUGAAAGCCCUGUAAUCGAAACCUUGCAUACAUGGGACUGUAUCCAGAGUACCACGAGACACGUGAAACCUUGUGGGAAGCAGGGGGGACCACCCUCCAAGCCAAAAUACUGAUAUCGACCGAUAGCGCAUAGUACCGUGAGGGAAAGGUGAAAAGAACCCCUGGCGGGGAGUGAAAGAGAACCUGAAACCGUAUGUCUACAAACAGUCGAAGUCUGUAUAUAUAUCAGGACGACGGCGUGCCUAUUGAAGAAUGAACCGACGAGUUACUGUUGCUAGCGAGGUUAAGUGGAAAACAUGGAGCCGCAGCGAAAGCGAGUCUGAACAGGGCGUUCAGUUAGUAAUAGUAGACCCGAAACCGUAGUGAUCUAUCCAUGGCCAGGUUGAAGCACAGGUAAAAUUGUGUGGAGGACCGAACUCGUGAGCGUUGAAAAGCUUUGGGAUGAGUUGUGGAUAGGGGUGAAAUGCCAAUCGAACACGGAGAUAGCUGGUUCUCCCCGAAAUAGCUUUAGGGCUAGCCUCGAGGUUGAGAGUAUAGGCGGUAGAGCACUGAUCGGGCUAGGGGCCAUACCGGUUACCGAACCUAGUCAAACUACGAAUGGCUAUACUUAUACUCGGGAGUCAGACAGUGAAUGAUAAGGUCCAUUGUCAAGAGGGAAACAGCCCAGAACACCGACUAAGGUCCCAAAUGUUACACUAAGUGGCGAAGGAUGUGGAGUUUCCAAAACAACCAGGAUGUUGGCUUAGAAGCAGCCACCAUUUAAAGAGUGCGUAAUAGCUCACUGGUCGAGAGACUCUGCGCCGAAGAUGUCCGGGGCUAAAGUGUAAAACCGAAGUCGUGUCAUAUGCAGCAAUGUAUAUGGGUAGGGGAGCGUUCUCAUCGGGCUGAAGCAGUACCGUAAGGAGUUGUGGACUGGUGAGAAGUGAGAAUGUCGGUAUGAGUAGCGAAAAGAAUGGUGAGAAUCCAUUCCACCGAAAGCCUAAGGGUUCCUGAGCAACGAUCGUCGUCUCAGGGUAAGUCGGGACCUAAGCCGAGGCGGAAAAGCGUAGGCGAUGGACAACAGGUUGAAAUUCCUGUACCGGUGUGAAUCGUUUGAUCGAUGGAGUGACACAGUAAGGUAGGUCAGCACGCGAUUGGAAGUGCGUGUUUAAGCAUGUAGGUUGAGCUAUAGGCAAAUCCGUAGCUCUAAAAGCUGAGAUGUGAUGACGAGUUACUAGCGAUAGUAACGAAGUGAUUGAUCCUACACUGUCGAGAAAAGCUUCUAGGUAGAGACACAUCGCCCGUACCAAAACCGACACAGGUAGGCGGGGAGAGAAUCCUAAGGUGCGCGGGAAAACCCUCGUUAAGGAACUCGGCAAAAUGCCUCCGUAACUUCGGGAAAAGGAGGACUCAUGUAGUGUGAAGUGCAGCAACGCAUGGAGCAUGAAUGAGUGGCACAAGAGAGGCGCAAGCGACUGUUUACCACAAACACAGGUGCCUGCUAAAGCGAAAGCUGAUGUAUAGGUGCUGACACCUGCCCGGUGCUGGAAGGUUAAGAGGAGGGGUUAGACUUCGGUCGAAGCUCUGAAUUGAAGCCCCAGUAAACGGCGGCCGUAACUAUAACGGUCCUAAGGUAGCGAAAUUCCUUGUCGGGU
rnacentral:rRNA from 1 species